rnacentral:tRNA from 1 species
ACCUGGCUUGCUUGGUUGGUAGAGCGUGUGAUUCUUGAUCUCGGGUUUAUGGGUUUGAGCCCCAUGCUGGGUG